rnacentral:ncRNA from 1 species
CGGAAAGACCCCGUGGAGCUUUACUGCAGCCUGAUAUUGAAUUCCGGUGCAGCCUGUACAGGAUAGGUAGGAGCCGUGGAAACCGGAGCGCCAGCUUCGGUGGAGGCACUGGUGGGAUACUACCCUGGCUGUAUUGGACUUCUAACCCGUGCCCGUGAUCCGGGCAGGGGACCGUGUCAGGCGGGCAGUUUGACUGGGGCGGUCGCCUCCUAAAGAGUAACGGAGGCGCCCAAAGGUUCCCUCAGAAUGGUU